AGGAUAAACGCUGGCGGCGUGCCUAAAACAUGCAAGUCGAACGGUCUGCACUUUCGGGUGUAGGUAGUGGCGAACGGCUGAGUAACACGUGGGUGACCUGCCCUCGAGCGGGGGAUAACGUGCCCGGAAAGGGUGGCUAAUACCGCAAAUGUCCGCGAUUCGUUUGGCGGACUGAACCGAUUAGGGUUCGAGGAGGGGCCUGCGCCCGAUUAGCUAGCUGGUGGGGUAAUGGCCUACCAGGGCGUCGAUCGGUAGCUGGUCUGAGAGGAUGAUCAGCCAGACUGGGACUGCGAACGGCCCAGACUCCUACGGGAGGCAGCAGUUAGGAAUUUUGGGCAAUGGGCGAAAGCCUGACCCAGCAACGCCGCGUGGGUGAUGAAGGCCUUCGGGUCGUAAAGCCCUUUUCCCAGGGAAGAUGAUGACGGUACCUGGGGAAUCGAGCCCCGGCUAACUACGUGCCAGCCAGCCGC
rnacentral:rRNA from 1 species